UGACCUCAAAUCAGGUAGGACUACCCGCUGAACUUAAGCAUAUCAAUAAGCGGAGGAAAAGAAACUAACAAGGAUUCCCCUAGUAACUGCGAGUGAAGCGGGAAAAGCUCAAAUUUAAAAUCUGGCAGUYUUACUGUCCGAGUUGUAAUCUAGAGAAGCAUUAUCCGCGUUGGACCGUGUACAAGUCUCCUGGAAUGGAGCGUCAUAGAGGGUGAGAAUCCCGUCUUUGACACGGACUGCCAAGGCUUUUGUGAUGUGCUCUCAAAGAGUCGAGUUGUUUGGGAAUGCAGCUCAAAAUGGGUGGUAAAUUCCAUCUAAAGCUAAAUAUUGGCGAGAGACCGAUAGCGAACAAGUACCGUGAGGGAAAGAUGAAAAGAACUUUGGAAAGAGAGUUAAACAGUACGUGAAAUUGCUGAAAGGGAAACGCUUGAAGUCAGUCGCGUUGAUCAGAGAUCAACCUUGCUUUUGCUUGGUGUACUUUCUGGUUUGACGGGUCAGCAUCAAUUUUGAUCAUUGGAAAAAGGUCAAGGGAAUGUGGCAUCUUCGGAUGUGUUUAUAGCCCUUGGUUGUAUGCAAUGGUUGGGAUUGAGGAACUCAGCACGCCGCAAGGCCGGGUUUUUAACCACGUACGUGCUUAGGAUGC
rnacentral:rRNA from 1 species